UACAGAGGGGGCAAGCGUUAUUCGGAAUUAUUGGGCGUAAAGGGCGCGUAGGCGGCUUCGCAAGUGGAAGGUGAAAUCCCUCGGCUUAACCGAGGAACUGCCCUCCAAACUGCGUUGCUUGAGGCCGGGAGAGGUGAGUGGAAUUCCCAGUGUAGCGGUGAAAUGCGUAGAUAUUGGGAGGAACACCAGUGGCGAAGGCGACUACCUGGCCUGUUCUUGACGCUGAGGCGCGAAAGCUAGGGGAGCAAACGGG
rnacentral:rRNA from 1 species